AACUGGCUGGCUCAGUUGGUAGAGCACAUGACUGUUGAUCUCUGGGUUGUGGGUUUGAACCCCAUGUUGGGUG
rnacentral:tRNA from 1 species